UACGUAGGGUGCAAGCGUUGUCCGGAAUUAUUGGGCGUAAAGAGCUCGUAGGCGGUUCGUCGCGUCGGCUGUGAAAACCCGGAGCUCAACUCCGGGCCUGCAGUCGAUACGGGCGGACUCGAGUUCGGCAGGGGAGACUGGAAUUCCUGGGUGUAGCGGUGGAAUGCGCAGAUAUCAGGAGGAACACCGGUGGCGAAGGCGGGUCUCGUGGGCCGUAACUGGACGCUGAGGAGCGAAAGCAUGGGGAGCAACAGG
rnacentral:rRNA from 1 species